rnacentral:tRNA from 1 species
UCUGCCAUAGCUCAAGCGGUAGAGCGCACCCCCUGCUAAGGGUGAGGUCGCGUGUUCAAACCAACCUGGCAGCA